CCUACCUACGGGAGGCAGCAGUGGGGGAUAUUGCACAAUGGGGGAAACCCUGAUUCAGCGACGCCGCGUGGGUGAAGAAGCGCCUCGGCGCGUAAAGCCCUGUCAGCAGGGAAGAAAAUGACGGUACCUGAAGAAGAAGCCCCGGCUAACUACGUGCCAGCAGCCGCGGUAAUACGUAGGGGGCAAGCGUUAUCCGGAUUUACUGGGUGUAAAGGGGGCGCAGACGGCGAUGCAAGCCAGGAGUGAGAGCCCGGGGCCCAACCCCGGGACUGCUCUUGGAACUGCGUGGCUAGAGUGCAGGGGGG
rnacentral:rRNA from 1 species